CUCGUCUCAGGUCAGGACUGCUAGACUUAGAAAGAAUUCUGAUAUGAAUUGUGAUAUCAUUGUCUAACAGAAAGUGUAUUGGAAGUUGUUCACAAUCUCCAGACACUUGGCAGGUCACAGAGAGAGGUGCAGAGAGCUGCCUUUUUUCUUUCUUUUGGGUUCAGGAUUGCAUUUCUGAAGUUUGUCCUUUACCAUUUAUUGUACACUGACUUUUGCUGUUAGAUAACUGGUUUCCAAAAUUAGUGUGUACACAAAUUACCUGAGUCAUUUAUUAAACAUUUCCUGGCCUCCCCCUAGGGCAAUUUAUUUGUAGAUUUCAGGUGAAUCCUAGUCAUCAACAAUUUAGCUAAUACCACCCUUUCCCAGAGAGAUCCUGAGAUGGGUGAUCUGAAAACACCUCAUUUGAAACAUUCUAGGUUAGUGAAUUGAGUUUAUUGUUUUACAUAUAAAUUAUUUUCACUAUGCUUUAUCAUAGAGCUUGACCUGUUCCCAGAGGAAAUCUAUAGGCAUAAAAUGAACACAUGUGUUCUCAACGGCUUUAAUUAAAAGAGUGGCAUGCAUAUUUCAUUGCUAUUAACAAAAACAAAAUUGAUUUGCUUUUCUAGAUAAUUGAAUGUAUGAAAAUCUCAGUGCCUUCCUUCUGUAACUUAACUCUAUAAAUUCUGCAUCAUUUUCAUUUUAUAAGUGCUGGCAUGUAUUGUGAAUUUCUUUACAGCAAGAAGAAUGACUUAAUGUUUUAGAGUUAGUUUUGUUUUUUUGUUUUGUCCCAUUUUUUACCAAACAUAAAAUGGCCUAAAAUGAGUGCACAAUAAAAGUGUGACACCUUAAACUAAAGUAACAUCAAUCUUUUCCAUAAAGUAUUUUGUUCUGUGAUGGCAGAUACCACCAUAUGAUUGAAACAUUUCUAAGUGUGCCGUAUAUUAAAGACUGAGCCCCUUCUCCUAAAUACACAUAUUUUUGAAUGAUGUAUAUAAAAUAUAUUAAGGCAAAAGCAAAUGGCAAACAUAGGUCACUUUUUUUUUUUUUUUUUUUUUUUGCAGUUACAGUAGUUUCCAGACAGCCACUUCUGUUCCUGUUCCAAAAACUAUGACUAACAUUUGUCUGUCUGGAUGGUAUCAUUAAAUGAAAGGACUAAUAGUCUCUAUGAUGCCACCUGAAUUUCUUAUCGUUGUUUAUUUGUUCUCUCAUGAAACAUGCAUCAUAUAUUUACCACAUGCUGAUUAUGUAGAAGAUAAAAAGAUGAAAAAGAGAACCCCAGAAUGAAUUUUCCCUCUCAGGAUGGUAUGACAUUAAACAAAACUAAUCACAAUGCAAAAGAGUAAGUGCAGUACUCAGCUUUCAAGAUGACCCUCAACGAUUGCCCCCUGGUUUUUACCCCUUUGUGUAGUCCCCUCCUGUGCUGAAUUGUGGCUGCCUGUGUUACCAAUAAAAUACCAACAAAAUGACAGGGAGUGACUUCUGAGAUUUAGUCAUAAAAAAUAUUCUAGGUUCUGCCUUGCUCUUUCUUGAAUCACCUGCUCUGGAGGAAGCCAGUUGCAUGGGAAGACAUCCAAGCAGCCAUGGGUUGUGUAGAGAGAAACUGAGGCCUGCCAUCAGUAGCCAGCAUCAGCCUGCCAGCCAUGCAAGGAGCCAGUGUGGAAGCCAAUAUUCCAGAGCCAGUCAAGCUGACUUCUUGACUGAAACUCCAGGAGAGACCCUGAAACAGAAGGACAAAACCACUCCUGAGUUCCUGACUGAUAGAAACUGUGAGAUGAUAAAUGUUUUUGUCAUUUAAACUAGUAAGGUUUGGAGUAAUGUUUUGCAGCAAUAAUUAAUUAAAUAGUAAAGAAAAAAAUGCACUAAGAAAAAUCCAAAGUGAUAUAGGGGUUAUGAGGAAAGGUUUCAUGGAAGACAUAGCAUUUGAGUGAAGCCUUGAAAAAUAACAGGAUUUAGAAAUGCAGGGAUGAGAAAGAAGCCCAUUCCAGGUAGAUGGAACAAUGUGUGCAAAGCUACAGAGGUGACGAUUUGCCAGGGAUUAGGCAAACAUCAAAUAAUCUUGUUUGAUUGCAACAUUAGUCCCUCUCAUUUGCUCCAAGGUUGUCACUUUUGUGGUGCUGAGGCUAGAUGUAGGACGAUCUCUUGUUUGAAGCCAAAAAAGAGAUAAACACAUAAAGCUGAGCCUAAAAUUUAGCAAAGUAAGCUCAGUAAGUCAGAGAAAGAGUCCAAAUAGAUCGCCUUCUAUCUCUCUUAUCCAAGAAAUAAGCAAGCCUUGUAUGCCACUCUUUUAAGAGAUCUAUUUGGACUCCUUAAGAAGGGUCCAUGGGGCAGCCCGAGAAAAAGGGAGCAAGGAACUCAGAAAUGGCAUCUAUUCAGAAUGCAAAUCUUAUGGAUGAGUUUCUCUCUAAAUCUACAUGUGACUUGAUAUAUUUGGCAGACUAACUCCAUUGAAAGAUAACUCAUUUUAUAAUAUGGCAUUUACACAAACAUCAGAGAGGAAUAGUAAAAGAAAGUAAAAUUAUAGUAUAGGACAGUAUUAAUUAUGAAUAUAGAUACAAAAAUCACAAAAACCAAAUUCAGCAUUAUAGGUAAAACAAAUAGGGUUUAUUUGAGAAAUAUUGGGGUAGUUUAACCAUGGAAAAUCUGUAUAUGCAAUUACAUUAGCUGCUACAGAAAGAAAAACCUUUUGGAAAAGUUCAACAUGCAUUUAUAUUAAGAAUUCUUAGAAAAUCAGGAACAGAAAGAAACUUCUUUAACCUAAAGAACAAUAGCUAUACAAACUUUAGAAAACAUACUUUUUGUAAAAUAAUAGAAUUAUUUAUGGAAUAAGACAGUGUAUUAGCUAGGGGCAAUGCUUGCUGUUAGCAGAUAAAUCUCACAUUAUCAGAAUUUUAAUGCAACCAGCAAAGUUGUUUCUGGUCAACAGGUAACACUGCCACGCCUAACUAAAAGAGGUUGAGAAAUUUAGACUAUUUGAAAAUGUAGACUGAAAUUUGGACCAGAAAGAAGAGAAAAUGAGUUGGCUAUUCACCUAGCAGUUACUGAUUGAGUCUUUAUUUUGUAGUUACCAAAUACCUAUUUCAUUAAAACAUAUUAAAUUAAAUUAAACUCUUAAAUUAAAUUGUUCAUUAAAACAUCAUGCAUAAAGCAUAUCCACUCUUGCUCAGAGAAACAUCCAAAGUCCUAUCUUGUGGGAAAUUCAGUUCAAAGUCAGCGUUCCAGGUGACAUGCAUUCCUCUGCAUUAGGUCUGAAUGGGGCUUUUUGUCAUCCAGUGAUUUAUGAAUCAAAAGGAAAAUCAUAUACUCCCUCCCGUCCCCACCUCCACUAUCAUCAUGGAUAGUAUAACUCCAAAAAACAUAUCCAUUCACAAAAGUGACAAUGGGAGCACAUACCAGGAAGAAAGCCAUCUAAUUCUGUUGGGUGGGUAUUAUGAGUUCCCUCUGCCUGACAUUGGAAUCAUUUUUUGGUUAUAUCUCAAUUCUGCUCUUUGGGAGGAAUUAUCUUGUCCUCAGCACCCCUAGAGAUUCCUUUUGCCCAUCAUUCUUUCUAAAAUGUCUGAAAUGGGUUAGGAAGUGUAUAAUCCUUGGGGGCUAUAUAGAAACUGGAUCUUGCUUCCUGCUUAUAUAACUUUGGGGACUCAAGAAUUGUAUUAGAGCUCAAAUGGUCAGAGAUAUUUUUUAUGCCAGUCUUGCAAUAUCUUUCAAUUUAGUUAUCUCAAAAAAAUAGCAGGGGGAAAAUAUGGCAGUCCCUUACAAAUUUGAACAUGUGUUUACCAUAUGACUUAGCCAUUAUACUCUACAGCACUAAUGCCAGGGAAGUGAAAAUAUAUGUUCAUUCAAAAACCUGAAGGAAAAUGUACGUAGUGGGUUUAUUUGUAACAGCCCAAAACUAGAAAUGACCCAAAUAUCCUUCAACAGAAGAAUAAUUAAACUCUGUGGUACCUCCACACCAUGGAAUACUACUCAGCAAUCAAAAUAGAAAAACUAGGGACACGUGCACAGAAUAGAUUGAUUUUGUAUUAGCUUCCUAUUGCUUCUGUAAUGACCACAAAUACAGUGGCUUAAAACAGCACAAAUUUCUUCUCUGACAGUUCUGGAGGUUGAAAUUAUAAAAUCAACAUUUUAGCUAGGCUAACUCCCUUCCAGAGGCUUCAGGGAAGAAGCUGUUUCCUUCCCCCUUUUCAGCUUCUAGAAGCUGCCUGCAAUCAUUGGCUCAUGACCCUUUCCUUAUAUCACUCUAAUUUCUUGCUUCCAUUGUCACAUCUCCUACUUUUCUUUAACCUUUUUUUUUUUUUUUUUUUGAGACAGAGUCGUGCUCUGUACCAGGCUGGAGUGCAGUGGCAUAAUCUCGGCUCACUGCAACCUCUGCCUUCCAGGUUCAAGCGAUUCCCCUGCCUCAGCCUCCCUACUAGCUGGGAGUACAGGCACUCGCCAUCACACUCAGCUAAUUAUUUAUAUUUUAGUAGAGACGGGGUUUCACCAUGUUGGUCAGGAUGGCCUUGAUCUCCUGACCUCGUGAUCUGCCCACCUCGGCCUCCCAAAGUGCUGGGAUUACAGGCGGAAGCCACUGCGCUGGGCCUAUCUCCCUCUUAAAAGGGCCGUUGGGAUUAUUUUAAGUCCACCUGGAGAGCCCAGGAUGCUCUUCUCAUCUCAAAGUCCUUAAUCACAGCAAUGAUAUCUCUUUUGCUGUAUUUUCUAUAUUCAUAGUUUCAGAGAAUAAAAACGUGGACAUCUUUUGAGGUGGGGAAGCAUUAUGCUGUCUACCAUAGAUCAAAGCAAUUAGGCUGAAUGAAAAAAAGCCAUCCUCAAAUGUUAUCUAGUCAUGACUCCAUUUAUACAGCAAAAUACCUGUUUGUUAACAAAAAAGACAAAACUCAAAAAUGUAGCUCAGAUCUGCUAAAUGGAUUUUAGGUUUAGGCAAAUUCAACCACCUUGCCACAGGUAAUCCCAGCAAGAAGUUGCAGAUACAAACUUGAGCUUUCUGCAGUCAGAUUCAUUCCCCAGAGAAAGGCAGGAGAAACUGAGCUCCACAUUCCAAGGUUUUCCAAUCUGCUAAUUACUCCACCUCUCAAGAUACAUUAGUGCGUUAUGCCAACUGGGUGCCCCUUGCAUGAAAAGAAAUAAAAGAUAUAGGGAAGAACUAUUCCUUUUAACAAUUGUAUUGUUUAAUUUUGUUUAGGCUUAGCAGUGCAUGAGACUCUUAUACUUUUUGAAGGUUGUACAUAUUUCACAAUAAAAUUAAAAUUCGAAAUAAUCAAGAGAAGGCCCUAAGACUGUAAGAAGUACGUUCAUUGUGGAGGGCUUUCAUGACAAUUCUAAAUUUGGGACUUUUGAGGGUAUAAAAUGGAAAGCAAUUGAGACUUUGUAAUCGAGGAAGUAACAAGUUCAGAGCUGCAUUGGGAGAUGACUGCAAUGACUGUAUAAGAUAAGGAUGAAUACCGAGGGUGUAUAACAAGAUCAGCGAGAAGAGGAUUGCCAUUGUUCCACCUGGACCAGAGCCUAGCGGGAGAAAAACAAGCAGGGCCAGGGUGCAACAGCGGCUGGACAGGGAGAAAGCAGCAGUCAAGGAGCAUUCAGGGCACAAGGUAAGAGGUUCACAUUGCUUUUUUGUUUGUUUUCUUAACGUUCACCAUUCUUUUCUUAUACUCUAUUAGUAAUGAGAAAACACUAAUAUAUAAGUGUAUCUGAAGCUUUCAGGAAUGGAAAUGGAUUUUCUAUGACUAUCAGUCUCUGAAAACAAGCAUGGAUAGGCUGGUGUAUGACCCUUGAGACCUGUGAUGAUGGGAGUGAUCCCCUUCUUGAUGGGUCCUCAGUAAAUCCAACACCCUGCAGACACAGUAUGCUAUUUUUACAGGAAAGGUGUCCCAAUCCAGACCCCAAAAGAGCGUUCGUGGAUCUUGUGCAAGAAAGAAUUUGAGGCUAAUCCAGAGAAUAAAG
rnacentral:lncRNA from 10 species